AUAGAAUGAUGAUAACGAAAGCCAAGAUGACGGCGUAGAGAAGGCACAACACCUUCCUAUCGGAAGACUCGGAGCCACUCAGGAGAUUUGGUGUCCGGGUUACCAGUGAAAACUCCUACCAAGAAACGCAAAAUGAGACUUCUUCCCCUUCGUCAGGCGACUCAGUGAUGUCGGCCCUUCCGCCAAUGGUUCGCGUACCAGGAGCGCAAGCGAAUAAGAGAAAAACUGGCGGCUCAACUUCCACCCCGGCUCCAGAACUUAAAGAAAUGCCAGCGCCGGCUCAUGCUGACCCGGCGAAAGAUAUAUCUGAUGACCGGGUUGACCUUCCAAGUUCUUCCAAGGAAGGCAUGGAAGCGCCCAACCCGCCAAAUUCGUUGAAGGCGACUGAAGAUCCUGAUGUUGUAAUCAUUACUGGUACUGGCUUUUCUAAGCCCGCUUCGACAGUCUUAUCGAAGCAUGUAUCAAUAUCGUCCGAUCCUUCUACUGGACAUGAAAUUUCUAAGGCCAAACUCUCUCAAUAUGAAAAUCUUGAGUUUAAAGAGCUCUGCUCCAGCUUCGAAAGUUGCCUGGAAACAAGUUAUGAACUGGAGAAGAGUUUGCUCCAUAUAAUGAAGAAUAAAC